AGUAGCUGUGUGCCUGGGAAAUCCUACGAAUCUAUACUACUUCUGCGGCCACAAAUAAGUGGCGAAAACUUGUGAAUAGGUCACAUUGAGCUAGGCGGCGGGGGGCGUGGCCAAUCUGUGAAGCCCACUGGCAUGGAGCACUGCAGACCCAGUUCCCUGUCCAUUGUGCUGGCCAAGAUCUCGACGGCCAGAUAGACAGGCAGACAGGCAGACAGACGAAGGGAGGCAGAGAGACAGAGAGACAGACACGGCUAGAUGGAAAUGCAUAAACAGACGUACCCGGAUUGUAAGCUCGUCGGGGCCAAGGAUUGGAUUUUUUCC